GACGAACGCUGGCGGCAGGCUUAACACAUGCAAGUCGAGCGGGCGUAGCAAUACGUCAGCGGCAGACGGGUGAGUAACGCGUGGGAACAUACCUUUUGGUUCGGAACAACACAGGGAAACUUGUGCUAAUACCGGAUAAGUCCUUACGGGGAAAGGAUUUAUCGCCGAAAGAUUGGCCCGCGUCUGAUUAGCUAGUUGGUGAGGUAAUGGCUCACCAAGGCGACGAUCAGUAGCUGGUCUGAGAGGAUGAUCAGCCACAUUGGGACUGAGACACGGCCCAAACUCCUACGGGAGGCAGCAGGUGGGGAAUAUUGGACAAUGGGCGCAAGCCUGAUCCAGCCAUGCCGCGUGAGUGAUGAAGGCCCUAGGGUUGUAAAGCUCUUUUGUGCGGGAAGAUAAUGACGGUACCGCAAGAAUAACGCCCCGGCUAACUUCGUGCCAGCAGCCG
rnacentral:rRNA from 1 species